UUUUUUUUUACUGUUCCAGUGUGCUUCCUUUACCUCAGGGAAGGAUGAUUCUUCCACAUUUACUGUAAAGCAUAAGUAAGCACCAUGGAUUUUUGUUCCAUUGCAUAAAGAGGAACAUUACCAGAGAAGAGCUGAUUGUGGGAUUGAAUUUUGGAUUGUUGGGUUAGAAGUUAAUUCAGUCUGAAUUAAAUAGAACAGGGCCACAACAGACAUUUUCAAUUUUAAAGCAAAAAGUGUAAUGAAAAAUCAGUACCUAAUUAGUGAAGUCAACAGGGCUGAAAAACCAAACAACUUGGAAGUGGAGAAGUGUAACAGGGAGCCAGGGGCUCUUAUUACUUUAAGAGAGAGACUACAGCAGAAAGGAUUCCAGGCAGCUGAAAAGGAAUUAGCUGUGAAACGGGAGGCAGCAAGGGAUCAACUGUAGCCUAGGCACAGUAAGCUGGCUACCAAGGUGAGAGGGCACACCUGUGGCCAUUCAGGAGAACACCUGACCAGAAGAGGAGGUGCCCAGGGGAUAUAAGCCUGGGUUUCUGAAGCAGGGGGGACAGUACAGCCCUGAACUCUGUAGGGAGAAGAAUUCCUGCCAGGGCCAGGGCCAGGGCCAGGGCCAGGGCCAGGGCCAGGGCCAGGGCCAGGGCCAGGGCCAGGGCCAGGGCCAGGGCCAGGAGAAGGAGAAGGAGAAGGAGAAGGAGAAGGAGAAGGAGCUGCCGGCCAUGUCAGGUAGUUCCAAUGAAUUGCAGAAGAAAGGAUAGGUUAAUUUGUGGAACAUCAAGACCACUGGAAAAGAGAGAUGGUCAUUGUCGUAGUACAGAACAGAUUUCUGUGUUGACCGGAUGUUGCACAAUGUUAUUGUGGAGGUUGCUGGCAGAAGCUGGAGGCUUGGCACCUGGAAGGAAAGGAGCUAAGUGGAGACCCUGCUUACCAUCAAGUUUCCACAGAAGCCCAAAGCAGACUCGACUGCACUAAGUCCAUCGAGUGACCACAGCUUGGUGUUUCACUAAGAUGACGGGAAGUUCCCAAUAUUCCAAUUAUUCACAAGCUGGAAAACAGUUUAUACGUCAAUACUGUCUGUGAGAUGCCAACAAUAACAUCUUAACCAUAUUUCUGGUUGAAAUGAGACCAAAACAAUAAUUUGUUAAACUUCUUGUCUCUCACUGAUCAAACUGGAUUUAUAUGGCUAAGAGACUGGAGACAACCAUGUGUGGAAUUUUAAAUUAAAUACUGCAUGUUAAAAAAUAACAGAAAUAGCCAAUUUGCUGUUACUGGACACAAUAAAAAGCUUUCUGGAUAAAAGGAUUUAUUUUAUGUAGAGGAUUUUCUAGUGCUGGAAUCCACCCGCCCCCCAUCAGAACAGCUUUCCAUUUGUAUUGCUUCCCCCACCUUUCCCCCCUGGAGCACAUUACAAACAUUGAUUCAUUCUCACAAUCCCCAAUGAAGGUAAGAAAAUAUCCUUAGGCUCAUUUUACUGUUGUCAGUAUUGAAACAAUGAGGUCAAAUGGCAUGCCCAUGGGCACAGAGAGCACUGGCAGAGUUAGAAUGAUCAGGAAUACCUGCUACUCAUUCCAGUGCCCAGCCCACAGCUCUCGUUUUCACUGGGAAAUGUUGAUUGGACCAAAGUUCGUUUUUUUUUUUUUGUUUGUUUGUUUGUUUGUUUUUUGUUUUUACUCAUUUCUCCCACAUCAGUAUACCAAGAUAUAGUACUAUUCUUCUUUUUAUGUCUAAGAACUUGUAUAUUCCCCCAUCAGCAGAGUAUCUGAAUGUCUCUCACUUGGGCACAUAUACACAGAGCACCUCAGUAAGUGUGGAAUAUUCUAGUUCCUAUUUUAUACAUAUGAAAUGAAGGCACAGGGAUAUUACCUCACAUGGGAAGUUUAUGGCAAAUAGAGGAAUUGAACCAGAUAAAAGGGUUCCAAGUCCCAGUUUGGUGCCUUAAAUGCAAAAUCUGGUUUGUUUUUUUUUGUUUGUUUUUUGUUUGUUUUUGUUUAACUUAAAAACCAAAACCCUGCUUCUACCCCAUUAUGAUCCAGCUUAGCAAAAAGAAUACAGGGAGACCAGAAAGUAGGUUUUUAACUUACAGGGUAAUAGAAGUUCUUUUGAUGAAUGUGGCAUGUUAUUUUGCUCUUAUUUAAAUUGUUAACAUUUUCACUUUUUUGUUUGUAUCCAGCCCUGGAGCUCCUUCCCUUUGUUCUUCACUUUUUCAGUACGUCUCAGGGCAAAUACAAUGUCCACCUGAAUAGAUGAUAUGGGGUAAGACAGUAUGAGUUGCAUGUAUACAUCAUGAAAUUUUAGCAUAGACAAAACACGUUUGCCUUAUGUCUACGUUCCAGGCUGCACUUGAAAAAUUCUGGUUUAGAAGCAUUAUCUCUCUAAUGCAUGUAAGUAAACUUGACUAGACCAGCUGUACAGGGAAAUAUUUCCAUGCCUUCCUCUCCCUCUGAAUCUAGUCUGGUCCUGCUUAUUAGCCCAGACUGCAAUGGAAACAAAUGUAUGGAUUAAGUGAUUGUUACUGUCUUUGGAGGUAUAGACUGUGCUGAGAGACAAUUUGCUUUUACUUCAGGAUCUGCCUCAGAAUGUAGCCAUGUGCAAAAUAUCAAAACAAAAUUGGCAUUAAGAUAAAUGACUGUUUGGCAGCCAGGGCAAUGCGACAAAGUGAACAAAGAACUGCUCAAUCGGACUUUCAGGCAAGUGAACCCUGAUUCAAAUCUGUUUAAUUCAUGCAAAUUGAUUUGCAGACAACACCAGAUGUGCCACUAGCUUGCCAUUUACUCUUUACUGAAAGGCAAUGAUGUGCAUGGAAAUCAUCUCAGUGAAGCAGAUGUGACAUGCAUUUACUGUGGAUCAGACCAAUGACUCAUUCUUGAGACUUCAAAUGAGAGCUCAGAGGGCACUUCAUGGAAGAGGUCCAGCACUUCAGAAGACUUGGACCCUAAAUGCUUUCUAUUUCAUGUAUUACAAGAAAAUAAACACAGAAAUAUCCCUUUAGCUAGUCUGAAAAUUUAAGAUUAGAACUAACAUUGAUAUUUGCACUAUGAAAACAGUCCUUUCUUAGUUAGUUCAGGUGGGAUUUGAUUAACAGGCAUUAAUGUCUCCUCUGGGAAUAAAGCUACUUCAACAAUCAAUGCAGUAGAUUUCCACUUCCAUUUUUUUCUGCCUCUUGAAGAGUUCAUUGUUCACAGUUCUUCAUUAACCUCAUAGGGCACUU